rnacentral:rRNA from 1 species
UACGUAGGGAGCAAGCGUUGUCCGGAAUCAUUGGGCGUAAAGCGCGCGUAGGUGGCUUCGUAAGUCCGUUGUGAAAGUCAAAGGCUCAACCUUUGAAAGCCGAUGGAUACUGCGGAGCUAGAGUACGGAAGAGGCGAGUGGAAUUCCUGGUGUAGCGGUGGAAUGCGCAGAUAUCGAGAGGAACACCUGCGGCGAAGGCGGGUAGCUGGGCCGACACUGACGCUGAGGCGCGAAAGCCAGGGGAGCGAACGGG